CAAUAGCGUAUAUUUAAGUUGCUGCAGUUAAAAAGCUCGUAGUUGGAUUUCGGGUGGGAAUGGCCGGUCCGCCGUUUCGGUGUGCACUUGCUACGCCCACCUUGCUGCCGGGGACGUGCUCUUGAGUUCACGCUCGGGACACGGAGUCGGGGAGGUUACUUUGAGUAAAUUAGAGUGUUCAAAGCAGGCCUACGCUCUGAAUACAUUAGCAUGGAAUAACACGAUAGGACUCUGGCCUAUCUUGUUGGUCUGUAGGACCGGAGUAAUGAUUAAGAGGGACAGUCGGGGGCAUUCGUAUUUCAUUGUCAGAGGUGAAAUUCUUGGAUUUAUGAAAGACGAACUACUGCGAAAGCAUUUGCCAAGGAUGUUUUCAUUAA
rnacentral:rRNA from 1 species